rnacentral:lncRNA from 1 species
UUGUCCACAAUAAUCAUAAGCUUAUUCAAAAGGUUGAUAGGUUUAGCUUGGAUAUAUACUACCUGCAAAUAGAGUUGAAUACAAAUUUUGUUGCAUGUAAUGCCCAUCAACUUAGUUAUGGGUGGUUUGAGACUGAAAGAAUUCUAAAGAGCCAACUUAAGAAGAUAAAAGUGAAGAAGUCUGAAAUUGCUCAUGCUCUUAUGGAUAGUGUCACUCUUAAGGAGAGCAUACUAGAUUUAUAUGGGGGGCG